rnacentral:rRNA from 1 species
GACGAACGCUGGCGGCGUGCUUAACACAUGCGAGUCGAACGGUAAGGCGCCUUCCUUUUUGGUGGGGGCGGAUGGGUGGCUAACAGGUGAGUAACACGUGCGUAACCUUCCCCCUACUUCUGGAUAACCGCAUUAAAGUGUGGCUAAUCCCGGAUAUUCUGGGUCUGUCGCUUGAUGGGUCUUGGGAAGGUGUUGGGUCGGCGGGGGAUGGGCUCGCGGCCUAUCAGCUGGUUGGUGGGGUGAUGGCCUAGCAAGGCGGUGGCGGGUAGACGGCGUGAGAGGGUGGCCGGUCACAGUGGGAGUGCGACCAGGCUGAGACUGCGACGGGAGGCAGCAGGGGGGAAUAUGGCACAAUGGGGGAAAGUCUGAUGCGGGGACGCGGCGUGAGGGACGGCGGCCUUCGGGUGGUGAACCUCUUUCGCUAGUGAAGCAGGCCUGCCUCGGUUGUGGGGGGGUUGACGGUAGCUGGAGAAGAAGCGCCGGCUAACUACGUG